CAGGCCCACGCAGGAGUCCAGAAGCAAGGCCCAGCGAAGUGAACAAAAGAGGAAGAUCCAAGCCGCCUCACGGGUAGCCGCGCGCCCGAACGGGCUGACCGGGCGGACCCAUCGUCCCGAACGGUUAUCUCUCCAAAGGUUGCGUCCCAAGUGUGUCGGGUUCUUUAGACCGGAUCCUAGUCCGAAAACGUAGGGUCCAGCCGGUAGGAGAUUGUAUAAAUACCCCUAGGGGUGAAGUGUAAAAGGGGGGAACAAUUGUUAUUAUACUUGUAAUAUACGAGAUCAGUCACCUUUCCAUAGGGACGC
rnacentral:lncRNA from 1 species